GAGCACCGGCUACUCCGUGCCAGCAGCGCGUAAUAACGAGGGUGCAGCGUCAUCGGAAUACUGGGCGUAAAGCGCACGCGGCGGUUGUUAAGUCAGAUGUGAAUCCCCCGGGCUCACCUGGGAACUGCAUUGAAACUGGCAAGCUAGAGUCUCGUAGAGGCGGGGGUAGACUCCAGCUGCAGCGGUGAAAUGCGUAGAGAUCUGGAGGAAUACCGGUGGCGAAGGGCGGCCCCUGGACGAAGACUGACGCUCAGGUGCGAAGCGUGGGGAGCAAACAGGAUUAGAUACCCUGGUAGUCACGCUGUAAACGAUGUCGAUUUGGAGGUUGUGCCCUGAGGCGUGGCUUCUGGAGCUAACGCGUUAAAUCGACCGCCUGGGGAGUACGGCCGCAAGGUUAAAACUCAAAUGAAUUGACGGGGGCCCGCACAAGCGGUGGAGCAUGUGGUUUAAUUCGAUGCAACGCGAAGAACCUUACCUACUCUUGACAUCCAGAGAACUUUCCAGAGAUGGAUUGGUGCCUUCGGGAACUCUGAGACAGGUGCUGCAUGGCUGUCGUCAGCUCGUGUUGUGAAAUGUUGGGUUAAGUCCCGCAACGAGCGCAACCCUUAUCCUUUGUUGCCAGCGGUUCGGCCGGGAACUCAAAGGAGACUGCCAGUGAUAAACUGGAGGAAGGUGGGGAUGACGUCAAGUCAUCAUGGCCCUUACGAGUAGGGCUACACACGUGCUACAAUGGCGUAUACAAAGAGAAGCGACCUCGCGAGAGCAAGCGGACCUCAUAAAGUACGUCGUAGUCCGGAUUGGAGUCUGCAACUCGACUCCAUGAAGUCGGAAUCGCUAGUAAUCGUAGAUCAGAAUGCUACGGUGAAUACGUUCCCGGGCCUUGUACACACCGCCCGUCACACCAUGGGAGUGGGUUGCAAAAGAAGUAGGUAGCUUAACCUUCGGGAGGGCGCUUACCAUAUUGGAUCGUUUUAAAAAAAAUUAUAUGCCCUGCCCAGUU
rnacentral:rRNA from 1 species